rnacentral:rRNA from 1 species
GCCUACGGGGGGCAGCAGUGGGGGAUAUUGCACAAUGGGGGAAACCCUGAUGCAGCGACGCCGCGUGAGUGAAGAAGUAUUUCGGUAUGUAAAGCUCUAUCAGCAGGGAAGAAAAUGACGGUACCUGACUAAGAAGCCCCGGCUAACUACGUGCCAGCAGCCGCGGUAAUACGUAGGGGGCAAGCGUUAUCCGGAUUUACUGGGUGUAAAGGGAGCGUAGACGGAAUUGCAAGUCUGAUGUGAAAAUCCGGGGCUCAACCCCGGAA